rnacentral:rRNA from 1 species
UACGGAGGGUGCAAGCGUUAUCCGGAUUCACUGGGUUUAAAGGGUGCGUAGGUGGGCAAGUAAGUCAGUGGUGAAAUCUCCGGGCUUAACCCGGAAACUGCCAUUGAUACUAUUUGUCUUGAAUACUGUGGAGGUCAGCGGAAUAUGUCAUGUAGCGGUGAAAUGCUUAGAUAUGACAUAGAACACCAAUUGCGAAGGCAGCUGGCUACACGAAUAUUGACACUGAUGCACGAAAGCGUGGGGAUCAAACAGG